GCAGGUGGCGGAGCUUGAAAUGGAACGUCAGUGAAGAAACGAUAAGUUUCAUAACGGAAAUAGCAGCUAAGUCCUAUUAUUCUGCCACUAGUCUUUCCCUUGCAGGGACAGCUAGGCAUAUUCCCAUAAGCGCCAGUCAAGCAAUCGAAGCAAUUCUGAGGAGAUAGAUUAGGAGUGCACUGCACAAGUGCAUAUAUAGUCUGGAAAUCUGGACCUGUCGCAUUACCACUAGCAUAUUUUCGACGGGGAUCACCACCAUUUGCAGCUUGGCCUCGCAAAUCGACCAAUAAUUUUUCAAGAUCCUGGUUAAAUUCCUCCGGUUGUGAGGCAUUCUCAUGAUUCCAGAAAUAAUAUAGAGUAGGAAAUGAUGUAGUAUCGUUUAUGAUGGAUCGAUUGGAGUACUGCAACAAACAUUCAUCAUAGCCAGCAUUAGCUUCUUUUUGGUUAGGACAUAUCUCUACAAGCCUUUGACCAAUGUUAUCGACACAAUAGCGACAUCGAUCAAGCCCUAUAUCUCCUCUACACAGCACAAUAGCACUGACCUUGUUGCUGUUUUGGCCAAUGGAAGCAUUGUAGAAACCAUAUUCAUCGAUAUUUAAGGAAAGGGAAUAGAGGAGGGUGUUUAGAUUGUUCUUGUAUGCACUAUCUUCAGUAUAGUUACCAUUGCCACCACAUUGAACGUAUUUUAAAUCGGACAGCUGCGCUAGGAUGGGAGUAUGAUAAAGAUGGAUAUGCAAAAAAAGAAAGAGUAGCCACUUCUGAAUAACCAUGGUCUUCGUCGUUAUGGCUGUUUUAAGUAGCUCGAUAUAUACAAGCUUAAUUAGUUAUUUUUGAAGAAAAUGUAAUACAUACUAUAAUUGAUUGGUUACAAUUGGUAGGGAGAUUGAUAGUAAUUCAGUGGCCAUUGCUAAAUGUGUAAUAGUUGACAAAUUAACACGCUGUUGGUCUAUUUUUUAGUCUUGACAAAUUGACUCUUAGAGUUUAUGGAUUUCAACUCUAAUUUAUGGAUUGUAGUGGAUGACAAUAAGGCAACUAGGAGGGAAUUUUUGGGUGCUACUUGCUCUUCUUUGAACAUUUCAAACUUUAUCAGAUUCCAGUAAGUGUAAUCCAACUGAUUUGUAUCUUAUUAUCUUUUUUCCUUGUAUUAAAGUGAUUCAAAUUGAAUUCACAAAACCAAUUACCAACAGAAGUGGCCACCUAGCCUGCAGGGGCACAUGAUGCUUUGGAGUACCGGGUUUAUCUGAGCACACUACUUCAACACUGACUAUAAAAUUUAUGUAUAAAAUUACAAUAAAAAGUAGAUAUGAACAUAUAACUUUAAAUAUAUAAUGGGUUCAAUAAUAAAACCUUAAAGAUUUCAACCCAUAAAUCUUAAAUCCUGCAUUCAACACUCGUUGACACGAGUGGUCUAUCCAGAUUAUUAGCAUUCUACUCCUCUACUGAUCAUUCUGCAUAAUGUCUAAUCGCUUAUAGCGGUUAAGCAUUUGUUCAUGCCAUAAACAGCAUUUUGAUAGAAAUAUGUAUACAUAUGUAGCAAAAAAAAUUUAAAAAGUAUACAUAUAAUUAGAUUAUACUCAUUUUGAACCCAUCAAUUUUGUCUAGUGAUAUCUGAUUUUCCACUUUGCUGGUCUACGUCGGAAUCUGACCUUUCUCUUCCCUGAAAAAUUACCAUCUGAUCCAACUGAAAAACGACAACUCAAUUUUAGCGAAUGGUGUUUGAUCUUAAUACCCAACAUCCGAUACUUAAUCCUAGUCGCCACAUCCACCUGCAAUUUAGCAGUACUUUUGUCUGCUAUACAUUUUAUUAGCGAACUCCAUUUUUUCCUAUCAACAAUUAGCUGUAAUUGCAAAAAUGUGGUUGUCUUAUGUCUCUUUUGAUGUAAAGGAGGUAUUGUUGUCUUUCCAAAUCUUGAUGACAAGAAAUAUAGUGCCAAUUUCACUUUCAUUGUUGUUGAUGUGAACAGAAAAAUCAAGAAGAGUGUAAACAGGAGUUUUUGGACGCAUACAUAGCCAUAGAAUUAAGACAAGUAGUCCCAACAGGACAACAAAUGGUGAAAGACAGAGUUUGAAGCUUUUGCCUAAACACAUGCCUUAAUCUUGAUAAAGAACUCGUAAUAUCUGGCUUAAUUAGUAUAUAUUUGUAGAAUAACAUGAAUUAAAAAAUUGAAUCUUUUGGUCUUUUAGAAAUCUGGGAAUGAAAUGUUAGUCCUAUUAUCUCCUUCAAAAAGUGCAUUUAAGUAAGCUAAAUUUACCACAUGACCUUAAUAAGAAGUUUCGAUAUAGUAUGUAACAAAACACAAAAGAAGUUUCAGUUGAUUUAUGUCACAAGUGCAAACUUUUGUGGUACAAUUUAACAAGCUUUUCGCUAGAUAUUGUUCCAUUGUUACUCAUAGUCACAUUACUCAUAUAUGCCACAUAUUUUAACCCUCGUUGCUUUGUCCUCCAUUCAAAUAUCUUAAACUUAACUAUAGUUUCCAAGACAAGAACGAAAUUGAUACUCCUACUGCCAAUCUCUUGCCAAAAUAGCUCAUCAACAAUAUACAUUUGGACUUCCUUUCUUGUAAUAUUUUUGUGGCCUUGGUAGAUACCUUUUGUAGAAUAUUUUCCCACAACAAGACCAUUGUAAUUCAAAGUGAAAUUGAUAUCAUUAUAGUAAAUGCUAAUACCUUUGUUGGGAUUAAAAAUUUCAACGUUUAAGAGGACAGAAUUGUUGCCACUAUGGAGAGAAGAAUUCUUGAUGUUGAAGACAAGAAAGGAGAAAUCAACUAUUGUGAAAAUUGGAUUUUUUGGAACCAAACAAAGCCACAUGACGACAGAGGUCAAACAUAAGACAGCUACAACUUGGAAGAACCAACAGUAGAGAUCGAAAGAAUCUUUAAAUAUCCUUCGAUUAUUCAUUUUUGGUCAAAUACUAGUACAGAGUUCAAGAAAUUGAAGAAGCAAAAAAUGUAUCUUUUGAAGUUCAUGAAGACUAUAUUUAUAAUUGAUCGUGCUGUUAUAUAUAGUUUGAUUAGAAACCUUAGUAGGAAGGAUAGCCAAAAAAGUACUUUAUUUGCAUUGCAUGGUUGUGAUCUAUUCAGCUAAAUAAAGGGCACUUUUUUAAAGAAGCAAAUUAAUUGGUUGGAUAUUCAUAUGCCUACACCAAAAUGACGCUGGAAAGUAAAUGUAGAAAGGACAAUGUCUACUUUUAAGUCAAUAAUUUUUUUUGGUCGAAAACUUAAAGAUGAAGCAGAACAAAUAGUUAUUAUAUCAUGUUAUAUUUGUUAUUCAUCUUUUCCAGCUUUUAUAUUGUGAAAAUGUCGAUAGUACACAAUCUAAUUAAGGCCCGCCCCUUUGUUAAGUGAUUCCAUACAAUCUAGUUAUGAUUAUCGGAUGUGCCCAGGGUUCCGGUGGAAUAAAUAAGAUCUCUCGACUUACGAGAUGCACAUUAAAGGAGGAAGAUAAAAACAGAGGAUGCCCUUGCCUUUUAGAGUAAUUUUGGCAGGGAAAGCAUGUAUUGCUUUUCACAAUCAAAUACAAAAAAAAAACGAAAAUUCAAUGAGACGAAAACAUGAAUCGAAAUGUCUAAUUAAAAUAUUCCGGACAUCUCUUAUCUAUGUAACCAACCAAGAUCAUACCAUCUUGUCCUACUCCAACAGGACAAUUAGCAUGCAUCCUAUGAUGUUUACUUUUCCACGACCAUAUCUUAAAUCGAAUCCUGGCUGUCAAUUCUACCCGGAAAACCACCGUUCCUCGAGACCGGUCAUCGAGCAUUUGCUGCCACUGUGUUCCGGUCACCGUCACCAUGGGGCCAGAAAAUGUACCCGCAAGAACAGUAGUGUUUUUGGGCAGUUGAUAAAAUGGAGUCAACAAUUGUGAAUUCCCAAUACUCUGUUCUUGAUAAGUCGCUGCCAUCUGUAUUGCAUCAUAAAAAAUCCCAAUAACUUGAUUUGAAUUUCGUGCUGUUACGUUAAAGUUGAUUUGGGCACUUUCAGGUCCAAUUCCCUGACUUAUAGCUGGAAUUGAAAAGUCAUGUAGGAAAAUUCUUGGACGAUGAGGGCGCAAACCUAACCAUAAAAUAAACGCGAUGAUUCCAAGAAUAGAAAGAAGUGUUAAGAAAAUUGUACAAACUACUUUGGAAACUCUAGUAGUUAGACUCUCUUUAAUAUGGUGAGCAUAGUAUCGAGCCGAGUGGUGUCUCCUUAUAGGGUGGUCUUGAUCCACAUAAACAGGCAACUCGUGCGCGUUAUCCAUUUUCACAGGAUACAUAGUUGAGAUUAAUGUUGUUCUUGAGGUUGAAGAACAUGACCAAAUUUAGGGGACAUGGGGUUAUAUAUGGUAAGAUUAGUUAGCUGGAGGACAAAGUAAUGUCAAAGAAUGUUUCAAAUUUUUCAAGGAAGUAAAGAAUAAUUGAAUUGAACUUGUUACAUUCUUGAUAGACAAAUAUUUCUUGUAUAGUGCAAUGCAAUUCCUAAAGUCAUGUGCAAGUAUACUUUGUUCAAUAGUACUCAAAAAAAAAAUGUUCUCUCUUGCCAAGUAUACUCGUGGAAUAUACCAAGUGCAUUUCUUUAGAAUCUUUAUAUUGCUUUCGAUGUUUUCAAACUAAAACGAUGAGUUUCUAUUGAUUUGCAAUCUUGCAUAUCUUCGUUUGAGAUUAACUACUAUCCACUUACGGUGGACAAGAAAAUUACACAAUUAACUCAUUUUUAGAAAUACUUAUUUUUCUUCUUAGUUUAAUUAAUAUAUUUUCACAUUUAAUUGAUUAAUUGAUUUUUUUUCUUUCUUUUAUUAAAACACGUUGAGGUUUAUCAUCUUUCUCCCUCUCUUUCCUACCUUUCUCAUCUAUUUCUUUGGAUCUUCUUCUAUCAAUAUCAAAAAUAUUAUGCAAAAUUGCAGAAAUGGUGUGUCUAUAUUUCCAAUUGUAAGAUUACUACAUUUAAUUUUUGGGAUUUGUCCAAUUUACUGAAAAGUUCUAAAAAGCAUUCUCUAAAAAUCAUUGUUACCACAAAACAUAAAAUUCUUCAUACAUUGGAACAAGAAAAAAAAUUCUUUGAAAUAACAUUGAAAUAUUUUUUAUACAAUCGACUUUGAGUAUUUACUAAUUUAGAUUCUGAAAAGGAAAAUAAUAAUGAGUAAAAAUUUAUCAUUUUUUUAUCUCAAAUUUCUUCAAUUUUGUAUGUCAAUUGCUUUAAUGGUGUUGACGGAGAAUGAGCGUGAAAAUAAUAAGGAUAAAGAAAGCAUGAAAGUAUCCUUCUUACUUUUGAUAAGUCAAGUAAGAAUUCUUAACAAACUCAUAUAAUUAAUUUAGAGUCCAAGUUACCAUAUAACACUCUUUUUAUUAGUUUUUAAUAAUAUUAAUAUUAUGUGAUUUUUUUAAAAAAAAAAUUGAUAUGUAUUUCUAAAAAUGAGAUGAUAAUGUAAUUUUCUUUUCCACCGUCAAUGGAUAAAAGUUAAUCUCAUCUUGGUUUUAUAUAAGUCAUUGAAGAAAGGUAAGUUUUAGAUUGU
rnacentral:lncRNA from 1 species